rnacentral:rRNA from 1 species
CUUUUAUAUGGGAAGAUAAUGACGGUACCAUACGAAUAAGCACCGGCUAACUCCGUGCCAGCAGCCGCGGUAAUACGGAGGGUGCAAGCGUUACUCGGAAUCACUGGGCGUAAAGCGCGCGCAGGCGGCUAUUUAAGUUGGAUGUGAAAGCCUACGGCUCAACCGUAGAACUGCAUCCAAAACUAUUUAGCUAGAGUGUGGGAGAGGAAGAUGGAAUUAGUUGUGUAGGGGUAAAAUCCGUAGAGAUAACUAGGAAUACCAAAAGCGAAGGCAAUCUUCUGGAACACUACUGACGCUGAGGCGCGAAAGCGUGGGGAGCAAACAGGAUUAGAUACCCUGGUAGUCCACGCAGUAAACGAUGAAUGUUAGUCGUCGGGGGCCUAGUGUCUUCGGUGAUGCAGCUAACGCAUUAAACAUUCCGCCUGGGGAGUACGGUCGCAAGAUUAAAACUCAAAGGAAUAGACGGGGACCCGCACAAGUGGUGGAGCAUGUGGUUUAAUUCGAAGAUACGCGAAGAACCUUACCUAGCCUUGACAUAUUUGAGAACACUUUAGAGAUAGAGUGGUGCCUUCGGGAGCUCAUAUACAGGUGCUGCACGGCUGUCGUCAGCUCGUGUCGUGAGAUGUUGGGUUAAGUCCCGCAACGAGCGCAACCCUCGUCACUAGUUACUAACGGUUCGGCCGAGGACUCUAGUGAGACUGCCUUCGUAAGGAGGAGGAAGGUGAGGACGACGUCAAGUCAUCAUGGCCCUUACGGCUAGGGCAACACACGUGCUACAAUGGUUGGGACAAUGAGACGCAAUACCGCGAGGUGGAGCAAAUCUAUAAACCCAAUCUCAGUUCGGAUUGUUCUCUGCAACUCGAGAACAUGAAGCUGGAAUCACUAGUAAUCGUAGAUCAGCUAUGCUACGGUGAAUACGUUCCCGGGUCUUGUACACACCGCCCGU